UCCCUGUAUGCUACACACAGGAGGUGCGGGCAAGAUGGUCCUGGACAGGGCCCUGGGCUCCCAGGACAAGUGGGCUGAGCCUGGCAGGAGGAUGGGAAGGCACAGGGCGAGUCCAGGAAAGGCCCACCGGCAGCGCCAGGGUGGCUGGAGCCGUGGGGCACGAGGUCAGGAGACAAGCGAGGCCACACCAGCAAGGUCCGAGGGAGAGGCUGACUGUCCGGGAAGGCAGCUCCAGGGGGAGAGGCAAGUCCCGGGGCCUCCGGGGCAGCCCGGUGAUGGGCCGUCAGGGCUGGUCUCUUCUCUCCCGGCCACAGGUUCUCCAUCUCGGGCCCCGGGGAGUGCGUCUUCGUGGAGCCCACCAGGCUGGCGUCGACGGAGUGCCUGAUGACCCGGCCCUGGGUGUGCAGCAAGACGGCCUACACGUGAGGCAACCCAACGCGUCCCUCCUUGGCCCCACGCUGGAACCUUCCCUCCUCUGGAGACGCCGUGAGGAAGGCCGGGGGCUGAUCCAGCCUGAGCUGCUGCCCGCACAGACCCCUGCCUCCUCCGCCACGGGACGGGGAGGGGGGGCAGGAAGGGAAGCCCCCUCCUUGCCUUGCUCUGCCCGGGGUCUCAGGCAGGCCCCUGCUGUGUCCCUGGUGCUGCUGUGUUGGUCCCCAAUGGAAUAAAAAGAUGACUGGCAUCCAGGGAAGUCAGCUGCCAUUUGUUCCAGGGUGGUGGCUUGGGAGAGAGGUGACGACACACUCGUGUGGCAGGCGGCACGUGGAGGCACCAAAGCCGAAAACAGAUUCUGUGGCCUCAGGGCAGCGCUGGCGUGGCCAGACCCUCGAGGGAGUCUCAGACGUCGGGGGGAUGUGUGCCGCCUGCUCCUUCAUUACCAUGCAACGCAGAGCAACAAACAUUUAUUCACACCCGCCACGUGCCAGACGCCACACCAGGCCUGGGGAUCGACAGCCGGGUCCCCCAGGGAAUACACAGGGAGCAGAGGCAACAGCUUGGGAAGCGCCGGAACAUUCUGGAACACAGUC
rnacentral:lncRNA from 1 species